AGUUUGAUCCUGGCUCAGGACGAACGCUGGCGGCGUGCCUAAUGCAUGCAAGUCGAACGCACCCGCUUCGGCGGGUGAGUGGCGCACGGCUGAGUAACACGUGGGAACCCGCCCCCCGGUGGGGGAUAACGCGACGAAAGUUGCGCUAAUCCCGCAUACGUCCGCAAGGAGAAAGCGCACCCGCGCGCCGGGGGAGGGGCCUGCGGCCCAUCAGGUCGUUGGUGGGGUAAGGGCCUACCAAGCCGAUGACGGGUAGCUGGUCUGGGAGGAUGACCAGCCAGACUGGGACUGAGACACGGCCCAGACUCCUACGGGAGGCAGCAGCAAGGAAUUUUCGGCAAUGGGCGCAAGCCUGACCGAGCAACGCCGCGUGCGGGAUGACGGCCUUCGGGUUGUAAACCGCUUUUCGGGGGGACGACCCUGACGGUACCCCCGGAACAAGCCCCGGCUAACUCUGUACCAGCAGCCGCGGUAAGACAGAGGGGGCGAGCGUUGUCCGGAGUCACUGGGCGUAAAGCGCGCGCAGGCGGCAACCUAAGUGUCGUGUGAAAGCCCCCGGCUCAACCGGGGGAGGCCAUGGCAAACUGGGUCGCUCGAGCUGCGGAGAGGCCCCUCGAAUUGCCGGUGUAGCGGUGAAAUGCGUAGAGAUCGGCAGGAAGACCAAGGGGGAAGCCAGGGGGCUGGCCGCAGGCUGACGCUGAGGCGCGACAGCGUGGGGAGCAAACCGGAUUAGAUACCCGGGUAGUCCACGCCGUAAACGAUGACCACUCGGCGUGUGGCGACUAUUGACGUCGCGGCGCGCCCUAGCUCACGCGAUAAGUGGUCCGCCUGGGAACUACGAGCGCAAGCUUAAAACUCAAAGGAAUUGANGGGGGCCCGCACAAGCAGCGGAGCGUGGUGGUUUAAUUCGACGCAACCCGCAGAACUUAC
rnacentral:rRNA from 1 species